rnacentral:lncRNA from 1 species
UUUAGAGAAAGUGGGCGGUGCCUUUGCAGAAUUUGAAAUUCCCAUUGGCUCCUGGGAAUUGGUAGACUGCCGCCCACUGUUCACCUGCCCAACGGCUGCCCGCGGACGCUUUCCUAUCACUGCUGUCAUGUGUGGAAGCACAAGCACUGUGGAAGGAAGGCUUUAGAGGAAAACACAGAAUGGUUCAACUGGCGGGAAACUCAAACCGAGUUUUACCUGAGGACUGUUUUUUGCGUAAUGAUCACUUUAUCACAGGACAGCUGGAGACCGCAUGCUGUUUCCAAGGGUUUCUGCCUGGAGGUCAUUUCCCCCUUUAUUCUUAGCUUGGAAUUUUAUGAUGGAAAACUAAAGAAAACAUGAAUGCAGAAAACUGCACUUCUAAGAUGAUCAUGAUGGAAUAAAGAAGGAAGGGUGAGGCCA